rnacentral:tRNA from 1 species
AGCAGUGUGGUUUAGUGGAAAAAACAUGGACCUGGGAGUCAGAGUUCGGGGGUUCUAAUCCCGCCUCUGCCA